CCCCCCCCCCAUCCCCACCUGUGUCCCCGCCGCAGCUCCCUGAUUUUUGCCCUGCUCUCCCCCGCCCCCUCCAGGUGGCGCUGCUGCCCCAGGCACAGCUGGCGGCGCCUGCGGGGUCAGAGGUCAGAGCUCGGGGUCAGGGGUCAAAGGUCAGCGACUGGGGUCAGGGGUCAAGGCCUCCACCUCCUGCCAGCGUGACCGUGCCACGCGCAGCACCUCUGUGGGGUGACACCAAGGUGACAUGGGGGGACAUGGGGGAGUGACACAGGGUGACAAAGGGUGAAACAGGGGUGGCACGGGGUGACAAAGGGUGACAAAUAGUAAGACGGUGACACAGGGGAGUGACACAGAGUGACACAAGGUGACAAGGGGUGACGGGGGGGUGGCACAGAGGGGUGACAUGGGGGGUGAGCAGUGGGGUGACAUGGGGUGACAGAAGGUGACAAAGGGUGACAAGGGGAG
rnacentral:lncRNA from 1 species